rnacentral:rRNA from 1 species
GAUGAACGCUGGCGGCGUGCCUAAUACAUGCAAGUCGAGCGAACGGACGAGAAGCUUGCUUCUCUGAUGUUAGCGGCGGACGGGUGAGUAACACGUGGAUAACCUACCUAUAAGACUGGGAUAACUUCGGGAAACCGGAGCUAAUACCGGAUAAUAUUUUGAACCGCAUGGUUCAAAAGUGAAAGACGGUCUUGCUGUCACUUAUAGAUGGAUCCGCGCUGCAUUAGCUAGUUGGUAAGGUAACGGCUUACCAAGGCAACGAUGCAUAGCCGACCUGAGAGGGUGAUCGGCCACACUGGAACUGAGACACGGUCCAGACUCCUACGAGAGGCAGCAGUAGGGAAUCGUCCGCAAUGGGCGAAAGCCUGACGGAGCAACGCCGCGUGAGUGAUGAAGGUCUUCGGAUCGUAAAACUCUGUUAUUAGGGAAGAACAUAUGUGUAAGUAACUGUGCACAUCUUGACGGUACCUAAUCAGAAAGCCACGGCUAACUACGUG